CUAUGUCCGCUCCCGCCCAAAGCUUCCCAACAGACUUGGACUGCAAAUAAAGUGGCCAAAAAAGAAACCAAGAUCCUGAUGCUGCUUAACCAAAAGAGGGGGAAGUAAACCACAAAUCUCACAUCUUCUUGACCGGUCCUACUCUGAGCUCCAUCAGAGGGAUUUUUCUUGUAUGGGUUAUCUUUUACAUGUUUUUGCCCCAGUGCCAGCAUGACCAAAGGCUUUAACACUUGAAAAGUGGUAACAGCAGUGAAGUUCCCUCUUUGUGAUCUGUCUCACUAGCCCUUGAGUCAAGGUGCAUUUGUCCUGUACCUGCCAUUGGACUAUUGGCCUUUUGCUAAACCAAAACAAUCUAGGCCAUAACGAAAUUGAAAGAAGGCCUUCCUACUCUGUGGCUGUUGUGCAAUCAGUGCUCAUCAAGGAUGGCUGAAGGCACAAGACGAAACACACCCUGCGUUUGAGGCUAAGGUAUAUUAACCUUUCCACUUGGAAUGCCUAAUUGCUCAAAUAUUGCCAACAUUGUUCAAACUGCCAGAUAUGUUAGGGAACAGGCAGAACUGGAGGGACAACUCUAUAUAAGGGGUAUGACAAAUUUAUUGGGUAAAUUGUAUGGGAGUGCUUAACCCUUCUCUCUGUUCUGUUUUUUUGUAAGGACAACUGCCAAGUAGAGUUGAUUAUGACUAAUUCAUGUGAGGAAAUACAACAGAGAAGUUAAACAGCAACAACCAGUUUAAUUUCACUUGUUACCAAUAAGGCCUAACUUAAUUUUCAAAAGGAGAUGAAAGGGUUACCACCUUCCUCUCCCAUGUGGAUGUUGAGUGACACAGGUGAAGCCUUCAGCUGUCCUUCUGAUCCUGAUGGACCCACCAAAAGCACCAAGGAGCAACCAGCCCUGGCUGAAAAGCAGUGCAGGAGCACAGGAGCCAGAGCCGUGUGGCCAGCGAUGGAGACAAGAAGAGAGAGAGGGCAUCCCUGCCCCAUCCUGCACAGGGGAUCAGGCUUUUCUCAAGGAUGGUGGAACACCGGGGCUGCUGCCAUGGGGCCCAGUGGCCACACAGGACUCCCAGACUGGAGGUGCAGGGGUGGAGAACGUGGGGUACCUCAUCACAGAUGUCAUCAUCAUCAUCAUGGUCACAGCCCAUGUGGGAACAGCGGGACAGGCAGCUGGUAUGUAGUCUAGAAGACAGGCAUUUUUAGCAAACAGAUGCAAAGAUAGUAAUGCUUUUUUGGAAAUCAGCCUCAUGGCUGG
rnacentral:lncRNA from 1 species